CUUUCUGUCUUGCGGAUGGUCAGCAAUCGAAUGGAACUACAGUGUCACGAGGAAAACCGUCAAAAUGCUCUCCAUCAGCCUUGUCUUGGGGUUUCAUUGCCUGAUCGUAUAUCUGAAGAGAUAUGCAAUUCUGCUGUAGAAAUGGCUAACAACCUUGGUAUAGAUGCUAUCUUUGUCUACACAAAGCAUGGAGAGAUGGCAUCACUCCUUUCUCGCAACCGUCCAAACCCUCC
rnacentral:misc_RNA from 1 species